rnacentral:rRNA from 1 species
AUACGGAGGGUGCAAGCGUUGUUCGGAAUUACUGGGCGUAAAGCGCGUGCAGGCGGUAAGGUAAGUCAGAUGUGAAAGCCCCGGGCUCAACCCGGGAAGUGCAUUUGAUACUGCCUUUCUUGAGUAUGGGAGAGGAGAGUGGAAUUCCCAGUGUAGAGGUGAAAUUCGUAGAUAUUGGGAGGAACACCCGUGGCGAAGGCGACUCUCUGGACCAAUACUGACGCUGAGACGCGAAAGCGUGGGGAGCGAACAGGAUUAGAUACCCCAGUAGUCC